GAUGAACGCUGGCGGCGUGCCUAAUACAUGCAAGUCGAGCGAACAGAUAAGGAGCUUGCUCCUUUGACGUUAGCGGCGGACGGGUGAGUAACACGUGGAUAACCUACCUAUAAGACUGGGAUAACUUCGGGAAACCGGAGCUAAUACCGGAUAACAUAUUGAACCGCAUGGUUCAAUAGUGAAAGGCGGCUUUGCUGUCACUUAUAGAUGGAUCCGCGCCGUAUUAGCUAGUUGGUAAGGUAACGGCUUACCAAGGCAACGAUACGUAGCCGACCUGAGAGGGUGGUCGGCCACACUGGAACGGAGACACGGUCCAGACUCCUACGGGAGGCAGCAGUAGGGAAUCUUCCGCAAUGGGCGAAAGCCUGACGGAGCAACGCCGCGUGAGUGAUGAAGGUCUUCGGAUCGUAAAACUCUGUUAGCAGGGAAGAACAAAUGUGUAAGUAACUGUGCACAUCUUGACGGUACCUGAUCAGAAAGCCACGGCUAACUACGUG
rnacentral:rRNA from 1 species